CUUACUCUUAUAGGAAUGGCAGUUACAUUUGGAAAAGCAUUUGGCAGUAUCUGCCAAAGCUGGACACAUGCAUACUUGAUGUGUCUGUUGUACUGGUAUAAUGGAAUACCACAGAUGGAGUAAUUCAUAAAAAACAAAAAUGUAUUUUCUCACAGUUCUGAAGACUGAGAAGUCCAAGAUCAAGAUGCUGGCAUCUGUGAGGGUUUCUUGUGGUGUCAUCCCAUAACAGAAGGCAAAAAUACAAGAGUGGGGGACUGGAUGGCAAACUUACUCUUUUAUGAGGAAACUACUCACUUGAUAACCCACUCUUGCAGCACUAAUCCAUUCAUAAGGACACAGCCAUCAUGACCUAGUCACCUCUUAUAAGUCUCACCCUUUAAUACUAUCAUAAUGUCAGUUAAAUUUUGACCUGAGUUUUGGAAAGGACGAUCAAACUAUAGUACCCAACAAUUUACUCCAGAAAUACACUCAUGAGAAAGCAUGCAUAGAAUGCUCAUAAGGUCAUUACUUGUAAUAACCAUAAACUAGAAACUGUCUAAAUAUUCAUCAACAAAAGAAUAAAUUCAUACAGUGAUAUAGUAGAAAUGAUACAAUGAUUGAUGUACACACUACAGCAUAAAUAAAUCUUGUAAAAGUAAUGUCUAUCAAUGCUGACUCAUAAUGGGGAUGGGGGGAG
rnacentral:lncRNA from 1 species